GCCGGGGUAGCCUAGCCCGGUAAGGCGCCGGACUCGAGAUCCGGUUCCCCCCAUGGGGGAUCAGGGGUUCAAAUCCCCUCCCCGGCG
rnacentral:tRNA from 1 species